rnacentral:rRNA from 1 species
UUGAACGCUGGCGGCAUGCCUUACACGUGCAAGUCGAACGGUAGAGGGGCAACCCUUGAGAGUGGCGAACGGGUGAGUAAUAUAUCGGAACGUGCCCAGUCGUGGGGGAUAACGCAGCGAAAGCUGCGCUAAUACCGCAUACGAUCUAUGGAUGAAAGCGGGGGAUCGCAAGACCUCGCGCGAUUGGAGCGGCCGAUAUCAGAUUAGGUAGUUGGUGGGGUAAAAGCCCACCAAGCCGACGAUCUGUAGCUG